ensembl:lncRNA
GGCCGCCUGAGGGGCUCUCCGUGCACAGGAGGGGACGGCCCCAGGCCUGGCCUCCGGGGCUGUCGCAGGACAGGGGUGGGCGACCACCCUGGGCCUCCAGGCACGCGGCAGGAGGGACAAGGCCGCCUGACCCCAGCAGGCCCGUCAGAGUGCGGCUCUGACUCCAAAGUGGCAAGACGACUAAGAGCCGGGGCGCGUUUAACCAUCGCUCCCCUCGCCCUCGACCUGAAGGGGCGCCGCUGGCGGACUCGGGGCCCCCAGGACAAACGCGCGGGUAACGCGCCCAACGACCCUCCACCUUUUCCCCCGUUUCGGCGGUUUCCACGAGGGGUGUGUUCCACUUUUAUUGGGGGGGAGCUUUGUUUCCGAAGUGAAAUGACGUUAGAAAUGACACUGCACAGCCAGCCUCAGGAGGCCCCUGUGCCAGACACGCAGAAGGACCAGAGAGGGUGCCCAAAGGGGAAGAGGGGAGUUCCUGCUGUGGCUCAGCGGGUUAAGAACCCGACUAGUGUCCAUGAAGAUGCGGGUUUGAUCCCUAGCUCCACUCCAUGGGUUAAGGAUCCAGCGUUGCCGCAGCUGCAGCACAGGCUUCGGCUUCGAUCCGGCGUGGCUGUGGCUGGGGUGCAAGCUGGCAGCUAUAGCUCCAACUCCACCCCUAGCCUAGGAACUUCCAUGUGCUGCAGGUAUGGCCCUAAAAAGCAAAAAGAACAAGAAAGAAAAGAAGGGGAAGAGGCGACAUAUGAGGGCAGUACCCGUCCCAGUGGCGCACACCCCUAGCGUCCCUGCACUGGUCCGCUCUGCGUCCCGGCUGGGGGCUCCCGCGCCGUGGGUUAUGGCAAAGGUGGGUCGUUGCUGACCCCGCUGCAGCCUGGGGGCUCUGGUUCUUUCCCCACCUGGCUCCCGGCCACAUCUCUGCUGGUGGGAAGGCUUUGCUCGGCCCCCGCCCGCCCCCGGCAGGAUGAGGGGUGACAGCGGGGGGAGCUCCCCUCCCCAACAGCACCUGUGCGGGCGGCACACGGGAGCGCAGCCCACACCCUGGCUCACGUCCCCGUGUCCUCCUCGGCCCGCACCCUGCUGUGGCCGCUCUCCUGGCGUCCCCACGUGUGAGGAGGGACCGAGUCUCCCCCGCGUCAAGCACCCGCCAGAGACGGGUUCUCCAUCCACGCGGCCCUUGCGUGAUGCGCAUUUCUUUUCUUUCUUUAUGUCUUUUCUAGGGCCGCGCCUGCGGCAUAUGGAGGCUCCCAGGCUAGGGAUCGAAUUGGAGCUGUUGCUGCCGGCCUACACCACAGCCACGGCAAUGCGGGAUCAGAGCUGCGUCUGCGACCUACACCACAGCUCACGGCAACGCCGAUCCUUAACCCACGGAGCGAGGCCGGGGAUCGAACCUGCAUCCUCAUGGAUGCUAGUCGGGUUCGUUAACCACUGAGCCACAGUGGGAAGUCUUGUUUUCUCAAAUCUAUACAGAGAAGGGAGCUUGGCAACAGAACUGGUGAAAACAAGCAACUCACAGAGCAGAGCAGGCGGCCAUCCACGGCCGUAGUUACCGAAGAGACGGAGGCACCAGCAGCCUGGGCGAGCUCCCCUCCGUCCCACGAGGAGGCGUGAAGGAUGCACUGCCUGCUGCAGCCAACACACCACCACACUACAGCUGCCGACGGUGCCCUGAGGGACUCGGGCCGGGAAAGCACAGGAAUCCGGCCCUAGAGAGCGAGGCACACGUCCCAGACUGGGCCUCUUCCCGCAGCAGAAACGCGCUCAGAGCUUCAACCUCAAGGGCCUGGUUUUCCUUCCUUCACAGCCACCUUUUCAUGAACCAACCACCUGGUCUCUGUUGUGAAAACUCCCACGUGUCCUGCCCCGGCCUCCCGCCCCGUCCCUCAGGGACCUGAGUCCUCAGAAGGUCUGCCAGCUAAACCCAACUCUCGAGUUUAGGUUGCGCAGUUUUUCAAAAGCUGCAGCGCCCAGAUUUGCUCAGGGCGCCCUCACUUAGAGACGGGACCGUGCACCGCCGCAGAUGCACCCCCAGGGCACCCCCGCAAUGCCAAGCGCAGGGCACGGCAGCAUUCGUCUCUCUGGCUUCUUGCUAUGUUUUUCUGUACUGUUUGAAAAACACUGGUCAGGUGUAAUUCAGGAAUGAUAAUAAACAGAGCCUUUUCAAAGCUCCGUUGUGCUGAGUUAUUUUCUGCUGAUCACGAGGAAGCAAGGCUCCCCAGCGUGGCCCUGGCCGACCUCAGCAGCAAUUAGAGCAUCGGAGACCCACACGGGGACAGCUGGGUGGGGGGGCUGUUUUCUCCGCCGAGGACUCCCAGGUCUCCCCGGCAGCGGAUGGGAGCCGUGCCCAGCUUCUCCUGGCAGCUCGGAGGGAUGGAUGAGCUGAGAAAACCCUUUCAGGAAGAGACACACAAGCUCACGGGCACCCCACUGCCCUAACAAACCGCGUGCCCUGGGAGCGCAGCCCAGAAGAGCUGGACAAAGGGGCGAGGACGUCCGUCACGCGGCGGGAGGACCCGGGCCACGUCGCACACGGACGCAGCAGGACGUCCGGUCCCCGGGCCGGGAAGGUUCCCCAGGGCAGCCCACCCGGCAGCUUCUGGGACUGAUGAAGCUGACGGCCCACAUGUCCCCAAACCCUGGAAAAGCACGAGUUUUCCUUCUGCUCUUUGGCUGUCCUCCUCCACGGGGCACCGCGACCAGGGGGCCGGAAAGAGACAGUGAGCCACCGAAUGCUGGCCACGAUGCGGAGAAGCCAGCGCCCCCACACGAUGAUGGGGGCAGGGGAUGGGGGCAGGCGGCCACUUCGGGAGGGGGGCAGAAGCAGACGGGCAGGGCCCGGGCAGCCAGCACUCUCCCCGGGGGGGGACGCGUGUGCACGGGGGCCUGGAGCGCCAUGCCGCCAAAGCAGAGGCUCGAAACCGCCCCGAGCCCGUCGCCCUCCGGGCUGGGAAGCCGUGGCAGAGGGAGGCGUGUGGUGGCGGCCGCUUGUCGCCAGUGAUAAAACCGCAUGGAAACACGCGUGCAAGACCCGUGGCACUUGAACGAGCUCGGAGGGCACCAAGGUGCCCCCGGCUUUGUGACACCACUGUCUGCUAUCAAUGGGGAAACGGCACCGGGCACACAGGGGACUCCCUGGGUGCUGAGGCUUGGUUUUGGUGGUUUUUGGCAACUUACUAUGUAAGCCAUAGUUAUUUCAAAAAUAAAUUCCCCUUGAUGGAAGCGCGUGCCCAGGUCCUCGAGGGGAGCACGGAGCCCGGNNNNNNNNNNNNNNNCCCGUCCCUGCCGCGCCUGCCCGGGGCCCUGCGGUGCAUCUUCACGCCCUGCUCCACCGGAGGCACAGCGAGGCCGGCCUGACCUGCCGGAGGAAGACCGCGCGGACCGCCUCCUCGCUGAGAAACCCGAGCACCCGCGUCAGAGGGGAGACGCGGAGCCCUUCACCGCGUGACGUCCACGACACCGCAGACCACAGGGGACCUUCUCUCUUCUUCUUUCAGGGCCCCGCCUGAGGCCUAUGGAAGUUCCCCGGCCAGGGGCUGAAUCAGGCCCGCACCGGCGACCUACACCACAGCGACAGCAACGCCGGAUCCUUAACCCACGGAGCGAGGGCACAGGCAAAAAAACCGUUAAACGACAAAAACUGGGGCAAAGCGUUUGAGGAGAUGUUUCUAACUGUGGAGGAGAGAACUUCGAAGGGCAAAAAAAAGGAUAAAAACGGACGCCAGGAAGCAAGAAGGAACAGGCGUCAGCACAGGACCAAGCCCCACGGACACGGCAUCGGCACAGGAGGCGAGCGGGCGCCCGUGACGCACACAGGCCACCCCCGGGCGUCAGGUCAGCAGAGAAAGAGGCCAAAAUGCGCCGAGGAGACUCACAGCAGACAAAGGCUUCACCUGCAAAGGCGACUGUCCCACUCAUGGCGAGGGGCGCGCCAGGAUGACUCCCGGGCAGCAGCUGGGGCCCCGAGCCGUCACGGCGGAUUUUAAACGGUGCAUCUAAGAGACACGUCACCUGUGGACACAGGUGGGCACGUGGGCCCCUGCCCCGUCUGCAGGGGUGAAAGCGGGGAACGACACCCUGCAGGAACUGGCGUUCCCUUCGCGAAACGCCACGCGGGCAUCAGAGCAGCAGGGCGGGGCCUCGCCUCCGGAGCGGUGAGCCAGCGCGGCUGGUGACAGGGUCCCAGCGUGGGAGAGAAGCGGGGGGGGGGGCUGGCUCCGACCUCCGCUCUGCACGUGGAGGACGCUGCACCACACAAAUCCGACCAGGGUUUCCGCGGGUCCGUCUCCCAAGGCAAGGAAGUCAAAACGAAAACAAACAAAUGGGACUCAGAUGCUUCCGCACAGCCAAGGAGACCGUUUAAAAAAAAACCCAAAGAGAAUCCACAGAGAGAGAGAAAAUAUUUGCCAACGACGUGGCCGACGAGGGCUUCACCUCCACACACACAAAAGGCUCGAGCAGAACAACGCGCCUGAGAGACGGGCAGAGGCUCUCCCAGCCCUCUCUCCAGAGAAGACAGGCGGCCACACGGCACCAGGAAAGACGUCCAAGAGCAGAGGCCGUGAGGGGAACGCAAGCCGAAGCCACAGCGAGUGCCCUCCCGCCCAUCAGAAGGGCCAUCGCCCAAGAGUCCGUGAGGCGCCCCUGCUGGCUCAGCGGGUCAGGGACCCAGCGUUGCUACUGCUGUGGCUCGGGUUUGAGCCCUGGCCUGGGAACCUCCGCAUGCCAAGGGUGUGGCCCCAAACACUGCUUGUGAAAAACUUAAAAAAUAAAGAUGUACUGACGUCUCUCUUCUCAGCUCUGGCUUGGAUUCAGCCUCUGGACUGGGAACUUCCACAUGCUGCGGGGGUGGCUGCGAAAGAAAAAAAGAACAGAGAAAAGAAGCCAGUAAAACGAGGAGUGCUGAGCAGACACUUCGCCAAAAGCACACGGGAGACUGGUCCCCGUUAGUCAUCCAGAGAGGGCUUCCUGGGGGCUCCAGUCGCGGCUCAGCAGAAGUGAAUCGGACUGACUAGUCUCCACAGGAUGCGGGUUCCAU